UGGGGAAUAUGGGACAAUGGGGGGAACCCUGAUCCAGCCAUGCCGCGUGUGUGAAGAAGGCCUUACGGUUGUAAAGCACUUUAAGCGAGGAGGAGGGUACUGGUAUUAAUACUACCAGGUACUGGACGUUACUCGCAGAAUAAGCACCGGCUAACUCUGUGCCAGCAGCCGCGGUAAUACAGAGGGUGCGAGCGUUAAUCGGAUUUACUGGGCGUAAAGCGUGCGUAGGCGGCUAAUUGAGUCGGAUGUGAAAUCCCCGAGCUUAACUUGGGAAUUGCAUUCGAUACUGGUUAGCUAGAGUGCGGGAGAGGAUGGUAGAAUUCCAGGUGUAGCGGUGAAAUGCGUAGAGAUCUGGAGGAAUACCGAUGGCGAAGGCAGCCAUCUGGCCUAACACUGACGCUGAGGUACGAAAGCAUGGGGAGCAAACAGGAUUAGAUACCCUGGUAGUCCAUGCCGUAAACGAUGUCUACUAGCCGUUGGUCUCUUUGAGGGAUUAGUGGCGCAGCUAACGCGAUAAGUAGACCGCCUGGGGAGUACGGUCGCAAGACUA
rnacentral:rRNA from 1 species